UCUGGUGUUAUGUCGAUACAAAAGCAAAAUACAGCGAGCUGACAAAAUGCAUCAAACAGGUUAUUAAUAAUGUGCACCAUUGUGCAUAUAUUGUGUGUAAAGGGAUUGCAACACUGUAUGUAAGCGAGGCGAGGGAGCGUUGUUUCGCUCGUGCUCCCACAAAGCUUUGCAAAAGACCCUACAAUGAAAUCUAAGACGUUUUUUUUACGUUUCGGCGCCAUUUUCGAUUGGACUGGAGCCACCGUUGUCAAAUGAGGAGUGCUGAGCAGACAAGUUGAGGCCUGCACAAAGAUCUGCCUGAAACAUUUCAAAAUACCACUUGACAAAAAAAAGAUCUACCGAGGGAUCGAAAGAUGCUGUGUAGCAGUUAAGUGUGCUGAACUGGACCGAACCGAACCAGACCAGCCUGGGCCUCCGUACCAGGGACAGGAAGAGAGCAUCUGAGAGGACCUCUGAGAGCCAGGCUUAGUCCAGAAGGAAAUGGGAAAAAGGAUGGGAUGGCUUCUACAGACUUACCUCCACUAUCAAGACGUUCUGCAUCCAGAUUACGAGAGGGAGAGAGAAUGAGUCAGACGCAUUGAUCGAUAUGAUAAGUUGUUGUAACAGCGCUGAAAGUUUCAACUACACGCAACCAGUAACGUGUGAAAUGGACUGGUCCAUCGGGGGCAGAGAGGGGGGUCCAGCUCUGGAUCCAGGGUCAUCUCCAGAAACCCUCCACGGUUCUGAAGCACAGCUAAACAAGCAUCCAGCUCCACUUUUGCUCAGCUUUAGAGCUGGACCACGACUAAUCAUGACCUCACACAGUUCUGGCUGAGCAAGGUCAUCUAAUCUCCAUUCUUCCUCCUUCCACCCCUGCCUUGGCUGUUUGAUAUAAACACCUGUUGCUUUCAAGGUCCAGUCUCAGUCACAUGGUCCAAUCUCAAAACACUGCAAUAUCUGCUUUCUGCACGAAAGCUGUACUGAAAAAUACUGUGUACUGAAGGCAUUUGGGUAUUAUUGUUCAAAGGUAAAGAAGCUUUUCUCCUUUUGGUAUUUGACUAGGUGGCCCAUCGGAAGCACAUCCUGACCAAGAGGCUUCUACACUUACAGCCUGUCCUCUUUCUUCCCUCUGACCCUCUGAUUUAGACCCUAAUAUGACGGGCAAGGUUUUCAUUCACUGUGGAGUCACCCAGAAAGUGGGGAGAACUGCAGUGGCCAUGGCGCACACCGUGAGGGACCCACCUGUCCAGGAUGAGGCCGUGUGGGAUGUAGACACGCUCCAGGUCGCUGGCAUAGUGCUUGGGGAUGCAGAAGAGGUCCAGGUCGUAGCCCCGCUCUUCGUCUCCGAUCUAAAAUGGACAGAAUGGCAUCACCAGCGCCCUCUGAUGCUGAGGAACUUGAUCAUUUUGAUAACACGCCUUGUAACAGCCUUUUAUUGCUUUGUUAGACGUUGUGCAACUCCAAUACCGCUUACAUUAGUACACCAGGCAUUCAUUGGGAGCUCAGCCUAGCCGCACUUAACCAUUGUUGACUUGUCAACAGUAUGUAUGUUUAUAAUGUGCUAUUUGCCUCACUUUGGAAAUAUAAAUGUAAAUAUAAAAGCAUGAUUCCAGUGAACAAGAA